rnacentral:rRNA from 1 species
GGGUAUAGCCCAUGGAAACGUGGAUUAAUCCCCCAUACCAUUAAUAUGUGGCAUCUUUAUUAAUGAAAUCUUCGGAGGUAUCAGAUGGGCAUGCGUCCUAUUAGCUAGUUGGCGGGGUAACGGCCCACCAAGGCGAUGAUAGGUAGGGGUUCUGAGAGGAAGGUCCCCCACAUUGGAACUGAGACACGGUCCAAACUCCUACGGGAGGCAGCAGUGAGGAAUAUUGGUCAAUGGCCGGAAGGCUGAACCAGCCAAGUCGCGUGAGGGACGACUGCCCUAUGGGUUGUAAACCUCUUUUAUAAGGGAAGAAUAAAUGCUACGUGUAGCAUGAUGCCUGUACCUUAUGAAUAAGCAUCGGCUAACUCCGUGCCAGCAGCCGCGGUAAUACGGAGGAUGCGAGCGUUAUCCGGAUUUAUUGGGUUUAAAGGGUGCGUAGGCGGUUUUUUAAGUUAGUGGUUAAACGUCGGGGCUUCACCUUGAUUUGCCAUUAAUACUGUAAGACUCGAGUUCAGACGAGGUAGGCGGAAUAAGUUAAGUAGCGGUGAAAUGCUUAGAUAUAACUUAGAACUCCGAUAGCGAAGGCAGCUUACCAGACUGCGACUGGCGCUGAAGCACGAAAGCGUGGGUAGCGAACAGGAUUAGAUACCCUGGUAGUCCACGCCGUAAACG